rnacentral:rRNA from 1 species
UACGUAGGGGGCGAGCGUUGUCCGGAAUCAUUGGGCGUAAAGAGCUCGUAGGCGGUUACAGUAAGUCAGGUGUGAAAAGCUCCGAGCUCAACUCGGAGAGGCCACCUGAUACUGCUGCGACUAGAAUCCAGUAGGGGAGUGUGGAACUCCUGGUGUAGCGGUGAAAUGACGCAGAUAUCAGGAAGAACACCAGCGGCGAAGGCGGCACCUCUGGGCUGGAAUUGACGCUGAGGAAGCGAAAGGUGUGGGUAGGCAAAACAGGG